rnacentral:rRNA from 1 species
AAAUUGAAGAGUUUGAUCAUGGCUCAGAUUGAACGCUGGCGGCAGGCCUAACACAUGCAAGUCGAGCGGUAGCACAGAGAGCUUGCUCUCGGGUGACGAGCGGCGGACGGGUGAGUAAUGUCUGGGAAACUGCCUGAUGGAGGGGGAUAACUACUGGAAACGGUAGCUAAUACCGCAUAACGUCGCAAGACCAAAGUGGGGGACCUUCGGGCCUCAUGCCAUCAGAUGUGCCCAGAUGGGAUUAGCUAGUAGGUGGGGUAACGGCUCACCUAGGCGACGAUCCCUAGCUGGUCUGAGAGGAUGACCAGCCACACUGGAACUGAGACACGGUCCAGACUCCUACGGGAGGCAGCAGUGGGGAAUAUUGCACAAUGGGCGCAAGCCUGAUGCAGCCAUGCCGCGUGUGUGAAGAAGGCCUUCGGGUUGUAAAGCACUUUCAGCGGGGAGGAAGGCGUUAAGGUUAAUAACCUUGGCGAUUGACGUUACCCGCAGAAGAAGCACCGGCUAACUCCGUGCCAGCAGCCGCGGUAAUACGGAGGGUGCAAGCGUUAAUCGGAAUUACUGGGCGUAAAGCGCACGCAGGCGGUCUGUCAAGUCGGAUGUGAAAUCCCCGGGCUCAACCUGGGAACUGCAUUCGAAACUGGCAGGCUAGAGUCUUGUAGAGGGGGGUAGAAUUCCAGGUGUAGCGGUGAAAUGCGUAGAGAUCUGGAGGAAUACCGGUGGCGAAGGCGGCCCCCUGGACAAAGACUGACGCUCAGGUGCGAAAGCGUGGGAGCAAACAGGAUUAGAUACCCUGGUAGUCCACGCCGUAAACGAUGUCGAUUUGGAGGUUGUGCCCUUGAGGCGUGGCUUCCGGAGCUAACGCGUUAAAUCGACCGCCUGGGGAGUACGGCCGCAAGGUUAAAACUCAAAUGAAUUGACGGGGGCCCGCACAAGCGGUGGAGCAUGUGGUUUAAUUCGAUGCAACGCGAAGAACCUUACCUGGUCUUGACAUCCACAGAACUUUCCAGAGAUGGAUUGGUGCCUUCGGGAACUGUGAGACAGGUGCUGCAUGGCUGUCGUCAGCUCGUGUUGUGAAAUGUUGGGUUAAGUCCCGCAACGAGCGCAACCCUUAUCCUUUGUUGCCAGCGGUCCGGCCGGGAACUCAAAGGAGACUGCCAGUGAUAAACUGGAGGAAGGUGGGGAUGACGUCAAGUCAUCAUGGCCCUUACGACCAGGGCUACACACGUGCUACAAUGGCAUAUACAAAGAGAAGCGACCUCGCGAGAGCAAGCGGACCUCAUAAAGUAUGUCGUAGUCCGGAUUGGAGUCUGCAACUCGACUCCAUGAAGUCGGAAUCGCUAGUAAUCGUAGAUCAGAAUGCUACGGUGAAUACGUUCCCGGGCCUUGUACACACCGCCCGUCACACCAUGGGAGUGGGUUGCAAAAGAAGUAGGUAGCUUAACCUUCGGGAGGGCGCUUACCACUUUGUGAUUCAUGACUGGGGUGAAGUCGUAACAAGGUAACCGUAGGGGAACCUGCGGUUGGAUCACCUCCUUACCUUAAAGAA